UACGUAGGGUGCAAGCGUUGUCCGGAAUUAUUGGGCGUAAAGAGCUCGUAGGCGGUUUGUUGCGUCGACUGUGAAAUCCCGAGGCUCAACCUCGGGUCUGCAGUCGAUACGAGCAAACUAGAGUGUUGCAGGGGAGACUGGAAUUCCUGGUGUAGCGGUGAAAUGCGCAGAUAUCAGGAGGAACACCGGUGGCGAAGGCGGGUCUCUGGGCAACAACUGACGCUGAGGAGCGAAAGCGUGGGGAGCAAACAGG
rnacentral:rRNA from 1 species